GGUUGUGGGGUGGUUACCUGGUGGAAGUUUUUUUUGCAGUGUAUGUUUUAAUUGUUUCUCAUUCAUCCCAUUGGUGAGGGAGGGAUUUUCACCCUAGGGUUCUGGGGAUGGUCAGAUACAAAAAGUGUACUUGACAACAUGUAUUAACAGCAGUUUUUUUAGUCUCAUAUACUCACUGCCUUAGGGAGGAGUAUUUUACACAUCCCACGAAGCCACAAAAGGGGUUGUACUUGAGAAUAAAAUGAGCAACCAGGGUGAUGGGAUGUGGGCUCUGUGGUAUCAAGGGGGUGAAGUGUCUCCUGAUUCCUAUAGGAAGAUAUGACUAGUUCGUUUAGUUUUUUCCUUGAGCUGGCAGGGAACCAAAACCUGCUACUCAGGGAUAAACAGGAAUUAUACUGCAUCCCCUUGAUAAAAAGGGUUUUUAAGCUAGGGAGCCUCAUCUCAUCUGUAGGGGCAGAGUUGGCAAGGGAACUUGAAUUAGGUCAUUUGAGGUCCUCCUGUUUUCACCAGAAGUCAUGGCAGCAUAUAAUGUUCCUCAAUUUUAGGCCUUAUACUGCAGUGGAGACUUUAAACAAAUCUCUUUGUUUUCAAACUUUCCUGUUAUAUGUGCUAGUGUUUAACAUGUUUUUCAGAGAAACUAGGAGAAUUGUAGAUUUGGGGAUUUACAUGGAACCUCUAGCCCUCUGAAAAGGUGAACUAGGAAUUCUCUGCUAGUUACAUUACUUGAUAUAGCAGAUUAAAUCAAAUACAAAGACUUUUUUCCUCUACCAAACAAAUCAAGUUAGGUUAUAAGAUAACCAUUCUAGAAUGAGGGUGGAAAGUUAAAACUUCCAACCCUAUGACAUCUCCCUAAGUUACGGGCAGAGAUGCCAAAUAUUCCUGAAGAAGUAUAAAAAUUUCAGUAAUCAGCUUCUUUUUAAUAGCUUAAAUAGUAAAUAUCAAUUGGUAAAGUUUAAGAUAAAAGCUAACAUAACCGUGGUACAUAUAUACAAUGGAAUAUUACUCAAACAUAAAGGUGAAAUUAUGGCAUUUGCUGGUAAAUGGAUAGGACUGGAAGCUAUCAUGCUAAGUGAAAUAAGUCAGUCCCCAAAAACCAAAGGCCAAAUAUUCUCUCUGAUAUGCAGGUGCUGACUCAUAG
rnacentral:lncRNA from 1 species